rnacentral:rRNA from 1 species
UACGGGAGGCAGCAGUGGGGAAUCUURGACAAUGGGCGCAAGCCUGAUCCAGCCAUGCCGCGUGAGUGAUGAAGGCCUUAGGGUCGUAAAGCUCUUUCGCCAGGGAUGAUAAUGACAGUACCUGGUAAAGAAACCCCGGCUAACUCCGUGCCAGCAGCCGCGGUAAUACGGAGGGGGUUAGCGUUGUUCUGGAAUUUCUGGGCGUAAAGCGUACGUAGGCGUAUCUUUAARUAAGGAGUGAAAUUCCAGGGCUCAACCCUGGAACUGCCUUUUAAACUSCUKGUCUUGAGUUCGAGAGAGGUGAGUGGAAUUCCGAGUGUAGAGGWGAAAUUUGUAUAUAUUUGGAGGAACACCASUGGMGAAGGCGGSUCUCUGGCUMGAU